rnacentral:rRNA from 1 species
AUUGAACGCUGGCGGCAGGCCUAACACAUGCAAGUCGCACGAGUGGCGGACGGGUGAGUAAUGUCUGGGAAACUGCCCGAUGGAGGGGGAUAACUACUGGAAACGGUAGCUAAUACCGCAUACCAUCGGAUGUGCACAGAUGGGAUUAGCUAGUAGGGGGGGUAACGGCGCACCUAGGCGACGAUCCCUAGCGGGUCUGAGAGGAUGACCAGCCACACUUGAACUGAGACACGUUCCAGACUCCUACGGGAGGCAGCAGUGGGGAAGAGUGCACAAUGGGAGCAAGCCUGAUGCAGCCAUGCCGCGUGUAUGAAGAAGGCCUUCGGGUGGUAAAGUACUUUCAGCGAGGAGGCGUUACUCGCAGAAGAAGCACCGGCUAACUCCGUGCCAGCAGCCGCGGUAAUUC